rnacentral:lncRNA from 1 species
AUUUGAUGCCUUCACUUAGCUUUUAAUUCCAUUUUUCUUAUACUCUUGUCCAAGAUUAGGUGAAGUGUCUCUGAGCUGUACUUCUUUUCCCUCUUGUCCAGGUUUAGAUAGAUGUCAAUCUCACAUUCAAGUGCUAACAAUUGUUGCUAGUCUUUGCACAUGACAACAUUUCACCAUCUUGACUUCACUGUGAUUGUUGCUAGUCU